UGGGGAAUAUUGGACAAUGGGCGCAAGCCUGAUCCAGCCAUGCCGCGUGUGUGAAGAAGGCUCUAGGGUUGUAAAGCACUUUCAGUAGGGAGGAAGGCCAGAGGCUUAAUAAGUCUUUGGAUUGACGUUACCUACAGAAGCAGCACCGGCUAACUCCGUG
rnacentral:rRNA from 1 species